UAACACGUGGGGAACCUGCCCCAUAGUCUGGGAUACCACUUGGAAACAGGUGCUAAUACCGGAUAAGAAAGCAGAUCGCAUGAUCAGCUUUUAAAAGGCGGCGUAAGCUGUCGCUAUGGGAUGGCCCCGCGGUGCAUUAGUUAGUUGGUAAGGUAAAGGCUUACCAAGGCGAUGAUGCAUAGCCGAGUUGAGAGACUGAUCGGCCACAUUGGGACUGAGACACGGCCCAAACUCCUACGGGAGGCAGCAGGU
rnacentral:rRNA from 1 species